GAUUAACGCUAGCGGCAGGCCUAAUACAUGCAAGUCGAACGGCAGCGGGUGUAGCAAUACAUGCCGGCGAGUGGCGCACGGGUGCGUAACGCGUAUGCAAUCUACCUAUAACUGGGGAAUAGCUCUCGGAAACGGGAAUUAAUACCGCAUAACAUCACGAAACGGCAUCGUUUUGUGAUCAAAACUCAGGUGGUUAUAGAUGAGCAUGCGUGACAUUAGCUAGUUGGUGAGGUAACGGCUCACCAAGGCGACGAUGUCUAGGGGGUCUGAGAGGAUGAUCCCCCACACUGGUACUGAGACACGGACCAGACUCCUACGGGAGGCAGCAGUAAGGAAUAUUGGACAAUGGCCGCAAGGCUGAUCCAGCCAUGCCGCGUGCAGGAUGAAGGUGCUCUGCAUUGUAAACUGCUUUUGUUCCGGAAUAAACCCCCUCACGUGUGAGG
rnacentral:rRNA from 1 species